CCUUAUUUUUCUUCUAGAUAGUUAUGAAUGUUGAAAGCUUUAUAUACUCUCCCUUCCCAGCUGCUGUUUUAGGAAAUCUCUUUUACCCGUACAGGCUCAUAAAAAUGAAUUUAAUGCUGGGUAACGAAUUGGCUCCUGUUAGGUUGCUUGAUGGAACUGGCUAUUGCAUAAUACCCAGUUUUUGGGAAAAUAUGCAAUUUGUAACCAGAAAACGGCCUUUUUAUUCAUUAUGGGAUGGUUAUAUGCCCACGGUCUUAGCUGAUGUAACAUAUUUGUUCACUUACAGUUUUUCUUCAAAUUUUCUGUUCAACCGAAAGCGACAUAAAGCCGAGUACUUCAAGGCGGCUGAGUCAAAUCGUCUAGCAUAUGAAGAGUGUAUUCUGAGCUUAAUCUGCAAUACCAUCACAAUUCCACUGCGAGUGAUAUCAUGGCGGUCCAUGGCCCAGCUCUGUGGUCCCGAAUGUUUUGAUUACCGGGUUAACAUUCUGGGAGGACUGCGACACAUUGCCAAAGUAGAGGGCUUGUCUGGUUUUUACAAAGGAGUAGUCCCGCUGAUAAUAACAGAUCUUCUAAAAAUUCUGCUCACUCGAGUUCUGUUUGAAGCUACUCUGAAAUUCACCAAGAAGUACCGCGAUUUGAGGAACAAGGACAGCAGUCGCAGGUCGAAAAGAGAAACAAGAAGUCUAAAUCAGUUCGAGAACCUGUUUACCAUUUUUGUCAGCUUCAUGUUUCACCCCUUGUCCCUUGUGACUCUGCUGAUGAAUAUGAAUUGCAGUGAAGUGACACCAUUUGUGAGGUACAGAAAUGUGAUGCACUGUCUCCGUCAUUUAUACUCCACUUCGUCUCUAUAUCGAGGAUUUAUGAAUGUUUUCCCAUUCUAUAUACCUGUCUAAGUCUGCCCCCUGAAAAGUACCAAAUUCGUCCUAGAUGCUUUUCCUUUUUUAAAAACCAGACAAUAUUUGCGGCCAAAUCAUUAAAUUGGACGAAUUGGUAUCUACUAGGUCAGAAGAUAAAUAUACAGAUGGUGUUACAUAGUUAGUUUUUCGUGAAUUAAAGAAUGAGUUUGAUAUAGAGUUAAGCAUUUUGAUCAAAUUGAA